GACGAACGCUGGCGGCGUGCUUAACACAUGCAAGUCGAACGCUGAAGCUUGGUGCUUGCACUGGGUGGAUGAGUGGCGAACGGGUGAGUAAUACGUGAGUAACCUGCCCUUGACUCUGGGAUAAGCCUGGGAAACUGGGUCUAAUACUGGAUACGACAUGCCACUGCAUGGUGGUGUGUGGAAAGGGUUUUACUGGUUUUGGAUGGGCUCACGGCCUAUCAGCUUGUUGGUGGGGUAAUGGCCUACCAAGGCGACGACGGGUAGCCGGCCUGAGAGGGUGACCGGCCACACUGGGACUGAGACACGGCCCAGACUCCCACGGGAGGCAGCAGUGGGGAAUAUUGCACAAUGGGCGGAAGCCUGAUGCAGCGACGCCGCGUGAGGGAUGACGGCCUUCGGGUUGUAAACCUCUUUCAGCACGGAAGAAGCGAGAGUGACGGUACGUGCAGAAGAAGCGCCGGCUAACUACGUG
rnacentral:rRNA from 1 species